GGAGAGGUGGCUCAGAGGUUAAGAGCACUGACAGUUCUUCCAGAGGUCCUGAGUUCAAUUCCCAGCCCCCACA
rfam:Neotoma lepida isolate 417 scaffold_339, whole genome shotgun sequence.